rnacentral:rRNA from 1 species
AACGAACGCUGGCGGCAGGCUUAACACAUGCAAGUCGAGCGCCCCGCAAGGGGAGCGGCAGACGGGUGAGUAACGCGUGGGAAUCUACGCAUCUCUACGGAAUAACGCAUGGGAACGUGUGCUAAUACCGUAUAGGUCCUUCGGGAGGAAGGUUUAUCGGAGAUGGAUGGGCCCAGGUUGGAUUAGCUAGUUGGUGGGGUAAAGGCCUACCAAGGCGACGAUCCAUAGUCGGUCUGAGAGGAUGAUCAGCCACACUGGGACUGAGACACGGCCCAGACUCCUACGGGAGGCAGCAGUGGGGAAUAUUGGCCAAUGGGCGCAAGCCUGAUCCAGCCAUGCCGCGUGAGUGAUGAAGGCCCUAGGGUUGUAAAGCUCUUUCACCGGUGAAGAUAAUGACGGUAACCGGAGAAGAAGCCCCGGCUAACUUCGUGCCAGCCGCCGCAGUAAUAC